AUAGCCUGCGAAAAGCUCCGGGGAGGCGGCAAAUAUCCUUUGAUCCGGAGAUGUCUGAAUGGGGGAACCCACCUACUUUAAGGUAGGUAUUGCAACAUGAAUACAUAGUGUUGCAAGGCGAACGAGGGGAAGUGAAACAUCUCAGUACCCUUAGGAAAAGAAAUCAAUUGAGAUUCCCUCAGUAGCGGCGAGCGAACGGGGAUCAGCCCAUUAAGUUAUGUGUGUUUUAGUGGAACGCUCUGGGAAGUGCGAACGUAGAGGGUGAUAUUCCCGUACACGAAAGGGCACACAUAAUGAUGACGAGUAGGGCGAGGCACGUGAAACCUUGUCUGAAUAUGGGGGGACCAUCCUCCAAGGCUAAAUACUCCUGACUGACCGAUAGUGAACCAGUACCGUGAGGGAAAGGCGAAAAGAACCCCUGUGAGGGGAGUGAAAUAGAUCCUGAAACCGCAUGCAUACAAGCAGUGGGAGCACCUUCGUGGUGUGACUGCGUACCUUUUGUAUAAUGGGUCAGCGACUUAUAUUCAGUAGCGAGGUUAACCGUAUAGGGGAGCCGUAGAGAAAUCGAGUCUUAAUAGGGCGUUUAGUUGCUGGGUAUAGACCCGAAACCAGGCGAUCUAUCCAUGAGCAGGUUGAAGGUUGGGUAACACUAACUGGAGGACCGAACCCACUGUCGUUGAAAAGCCAGGGGAUGACUUGUGGAUAGGGGUGAAAGGCUAAUCAAGCCUGGUGAUAGCUGGUUCUCCCCGAAAGCUAUUUAGGUAGCGCCUCGGACGAAUACCAUAGGGGGUAGAGCACUGUUUCGGCUAGGGGGUCAUCCCGACUUACCAAACCGAUGCAAACUCCGAAUACCUAUGAGUACUAUCCGGGAGACAGACUGCGGGUGCUAACGUCCGUAGUCAAGAGGAAAACAAUCCAGACCGCCAGCUAAGGCCCCAAAAUCAUAGUUAAGUGGGAAACGAUGUGGGAAGGCAUAGACAGCUAGGAGGUUGGCUUAGAAGCAGCCACCCUUUAAAGAAAGCGUAAUAGCUCACUAGUCGAGUCGGCCUGCGCGGAAGAUGUAACGGGGCUAAAACUAUGUGCCGAAGCUGCGGAUGUAUACUUUGUAUACGUGGUAGGGGAGCGUUCUGUAAGCCGAUGAAGGUGUGUUGAGAAGCAUGCUGGAGGUAUCAGAAGUGCGAAUGCUGACGUGAGUAACGACAAAACGGGUGAAAAACCCGUUCGCCGAAAGACCAAGGGUUCCAGUCCAACGUUAAUCGGGGCUGGGUGAGUCGACCCCUAAGGCGAGGCCGAAAGGCGUAGUCGAUGGGAAAAUGGUUAAUAUUCCAUUACUUCUGUGUAAUGCGAUGAGAGGACGGAGAAGGCUAAAUCAGCCUGGCGUUGGUUGUCCAGGUGAAAGGAUGUAGGCAUGUAUCUUAGGCAAAUCCGGGGUACUCUAUGCUGAGAUCUGAUAGCAAGCUGUACUUGUACAGCGAAGUGGUUGAUGCCAUGCUUCCAGGAAAAGUCUCUAAGCUUCAGUUACACAGGAAUCGUACCCGAAACCGACACAGGUGGUCAGGUCGAGUAGACCAAGGCGCUUGAGAGAACUCUGCUGAAGGAACUAGGCAAAAUGGUACCGUAACUUCGGGAGAAGGUACGCUGUUGUUGGUGAUGGAACUCGCUUCCUGAGCUGACGACAGCCGCAGAAACCAGGCCGCUGCAACUGUUUAUUAAAAACAUAGCACUCUGCAAACACGAAAGUGGACGUAUAGGGUGUGAUGCCUGCCCGGUGCUGGAAGGUUAAUUGAUGGGGUUAGCGUAAGCGAAGCUCUUGAUCGAAGCCCCAGUAAACGGCGGCCGUAACUAUAACGGUCCUAAGGUAGCGAAAUUCCUUGUCGGGUAAGUUCCGACCUGCACGAAUGGCAUAAUGAUGGCGGCGCUGUCUCCAGCAGAGGCUCAGUGAAAUCGAAAUCGCUGUGAAGAUGCAGUGUACCCGCGGCUAGACGGAAAGACCCCGUGAACCUUUACUGCAGCUUGACACUGAACUUUGACCUUACUUGUGUAGGAUAGGUGGGAGGCUUUGAAGCUGGAACGCUAGUUCCAGUGGAGCCGUCCUUGAAAUACCACCCUGGUAAUGUUGAGGUUCUAACUCUGUCCCGUGAUCCGGGACGAGGACCGUGUCUGGUGGGUAGUUUGACUGGGGCGGUCUCCUCCUAAAGAGUAACGGAGGAGUACGAAGGUGCGCUCAGCGUGGUCGGAAAUCACGCGUAGAGUAUAAAGGCAAAAGCGCGCUUAACUGCGAGACCCACAAGUCGAGCAGGUACGAAAGUAGGUCUUAGUGAUCCGGUGGUUCUGUAUGGAAGGGCCAUCGCUCAACGGAUAAAAGGUACUCUGGGGAUAACAGGCUGAUACCGCCCAAGAGUUCAUAUCGACGGCGGUGUUUGGCACCUCGAUGUCGGCUCAUCUCAUCCUGGGGCUGAAGCAGGUCCCAAGGGUAUGGCUGUUCGCCAUUUAAAGAGGUACGCGAGCUGGGUUUAGAACGUCGUGAGACAGUUCGGUCCCUAUCUACCGUGGGCGCUGGAAAUUUGAGAGGAUCUGCUCCUAGUACGAGAGGACCAGAGUGGACGAACCUCUGGUGUACCGGUUGUGACGCCAGUCGCAUCGCCGGGUAGCUAUGUUCGGAAGGGAUAACCGCUGAAAGCAUCUAAGCGGGAAGCCUACCUCAAGAUAAGAUUUCCCUAGGACUUUAUGUCCUCUAAAGAGCCGUUCGAGACUAGGACGUUGAUAGGUUGGAUGUGGAAGCAUAGUGAUAUGUGAAGCUGACCAAUACUAAUUGCUCGUGAGGCUUGACUAUACAACACCCAAGCAGUUG
rnacentral:rRNA from 1 species